rnacentral:rRNA from 1 species
GACGAACGCUGGCGGCGUGCUUAACACAUGCAAGUCGAACGGAAAGGCCCCUUUGUGGGUACUCGAGUGGCGAACGGGCGGGUAACACGCAAGUAACCUGCCCUUGAUUUCGUGAUAACUUCAGGAAACUGGGGCGAAUAUCGACUAGGAAUCCUUUCUGCAUGGUGGGGGUUGGAAAGCUUCGGCGGUUUUGGAGGGACGCGCGGGCUAUCUGUCUGUUUGUGGGGGAGUGGCUUACCAAGGCCUUGACGGGUAGGCGGCCUGAGGGGGCGACCGGCCAACUUGGGGCUGAGGUACGGCCCAGACUCCUAAGGGGGGCAAGAGGGGGGAAAAAUGGACCAUGGGGGGGAACCCGAUGGAGGAAAGCCGCGGGCGGGGAGACCGGCUUUGGGUUGGAAACCGCCUUCAGCAGGGGAGGAACUGGUAGUGACGGUACCUGCAGAAGAAGCACCGGCUAACUACGUG